rnacentral:lncRNA from 1 species
ACAAAAGGUGAAGUGGGCGAGGAUAUUGUAACGAUAAAAAACGAAAAUGGAGAAGUCUUGUCUACAAAUGACUUUCAUCUCGAGACCGGCUAUGAGCUUCAGAAGCCAAAUGACGAAAAAGACAACGUUUGCCUGAUCUCACGAAUUUUAGAAAAUGAAGAUAAACAGGCAUGUUAUAGCCGUGAAACUGUCCCUGAUGAUUUAGAGCAUGGUUUGGAUCUUGAGGAAUGUGAAAAUCGAGAUAUUUUUCUGUUAGUACCAGCGGACUGCCCUGAUGAUAAAAGCGUCCGUGGUUAUUGCAGAUGGGUAACUCAACUAGAGUGCUACUGUGCAGAAAAAACCUGUUUGAGAAAAGGAUGGUGGAGUUGGGGUUGCACAAGAUGGGGUUGCAAAAGAUACGCAUACCGCACUGUGAAAACUAAAAAAUGCUAUUAAAAAAUGAAAGUGGACGCUUUUCUUGUUAAACUGAUAUCUAUUUUGACAUACACUUUUCUGUACUUAAUUUACAAUAAAUGAUUUUAUUAAUUUCCUUUUCCAGUUAAACUUUUAAUCAUGUUUCUUUCUAUCUGUUCUGUUUACGAAACAAUCUUACUAUAUCUAAAUGAAGUCUUCUGCUUUCAGAAUAAAAUUGUUUUCUUCACAAAAUG